GUUCUUGCAAUGAAAGACACUGGGGUCACCAGUGCAGCCUCCUGCAGUGCCAGCAUUGAUUUUAGACCAGUGGCCCAGGCCUUUGUCCAGGCUCUGGAUCUAGUCCUCCCUGGCUGAUACCAGACAUUUUUCUAUUACCCAUCAUUCAUUGCACUCUAGAGGCACUGUCUGGAAGAAGCUAUUUGGGGUAAAAUUAGGACUUUAAGGCCACAAUAUCAGGAACUCAGCUAAAGGAAGUGAAAUAUGGUCUUCAACAAGGGUCUAAUAAAAGCUAGGAUAUUUGAGGCUCCCUUUGUUGAUAACUGGGUAAUUCAGGGAGACAUCAUGAACACUGCAAGUUUGAACUCACUUUUGACAGCUUUGUAGGAAUGUGUCACUAAUGUUCCUUGCUCUGUCUGCAUCCUCUGGGAACACUUUUUUUGAUGACUUCAUUAAAGUAUGCCAAAAUCUG